GUGAUUAUAAUUUAAAUAAAAUACAAGGUUGUGAUCCUUGAAAUGAAGGUUAAAGCCCUUUUAAUCACA
rnacentral:tRNA from 1 species